rnacentral:rRNA from 1 species
GAUGAACGCUGGCGGCGUGCCUAAUACAUGCAAGUAGAACGCUGAAGCUUGGUGCUUGCACCGAGCGGAUGAGUUGCGAACGGGUGAGUAACGCGUAGGUAACCUGCCUCUUAGCGGGGGAUAACUAUUGGAAACGAUAGCUAAUACCGCAUAAAAGUCGACAUCGCAUGAUGUUGAUUUGAAAGGUGCAAUUGCAUCACUAAGAGAUGGACCUGCGUUGUAUUAGCUAGUUGGUGAGGUAACGGCUCACCAAGGCGACGAUACAUAGCCGACCUGAGAGGGUGAUCGGCCACACUGGGACUGAGACACGGCCCAGACUCCUACGGGAGGCAGCAGUAGGGAAUCUUCGGCAAUGGGGGCAACCCUGACCGAGCAACGCCGCGUGAGUGAAGAAGGUUUUCGGAUCGUAAAGCUCUGUUGUAAGAGAAGAACGAGUGUGAGAGUGGAAAGUUCACACUGUGACGGUAGCUUACCAGAAAGGGACGGCUAACUACGUGCCAGCAGCCGCGGUAAUACGUAGGUCCCGAGCGUUGUCCGGAUUUAUUGGGCGUAAAGCGAGCGCAGGCGGUUUGAUAAGUCUGAAGUUAAAGGCUGUGGCUCAACCAUAGUUCGCUUUGGAAACUGUCAAACUUGAGUGCAGAAGGGGAGAGUGGAAUUCCAUGUGUAGCGGUGAAAUGCGUAGAUAUAUGGAGGAACACCGGUGGCGAAAGCGGCUCUCUGGUCUGUAACUGACGCUGAGGCUCGAAAGCGUGGGGAGCGAACAGG